AGUAAUCCAUCAACACUAGUGAACUUGCAGAAAGGUAGAAAGGAUAAAAGUUGUAGGUGGCCCCGUGUUGUCAAAUGUUACUAUACCUGAUGCCAGCACUUGACCAUUUCACACGCCAACCUUCGUUUCACAGCUAGUGUGGCCUUGGGACUAUCCAUCGCGAUCCCAAGUUGAAUAUCGACAGUCUAUAGGGGUAAAAAGCCAAAUAUAAGUCAGAGUAUGAAAGAGGUUUCGCUAAUUUUUAUAGCCUAAACAGAAGACAAAUGCUCAUGCAUAGACCAACCUUUCUAAAAUGCAAACUGAUAUUGAACACAUUCAGAUAAUGUGUCCAUUAAGAAUUUCUUAAAAAAUACUGCACAGAAAAGUGAUAAAAAUCUAAAAUCAUCAUGAACAAGUUCUUGGUCUCGAUACUUUAGAGAAAAUACCUUGAACUUAGGUGGAUUUGUUUUAUAUAGAAUUAGAAUUUUUUUCACUUGUGUAUCCUCACAGUUGAAUGUUUUUCCUAAUUUACUGACAAACAUGAGCAAAGAAAAAUCUUCAUAACAUUCAUAAACAUAAAGAAGAGAUUUUACAUUUCUAAGAGAUUGAUAAAGACCGUCCACUGGAUACUACCAAGCUUAUAAUGCAAUUAACAUUAACAUAAUAAGCAUACCUAAUAUUUCAUCCUCCAACUGUAUUGUUAACAGCCUUCAGGAAUAUAAUACUCUCAAAACUUCAAGAACAUAACUGAUGGAAAAAUAGCAGUG
rnacentral:lncRNA from 1 species